GGCGCCUCUGCCCUCUCUCCGCCGCCGCCGCUCAACGGCGCCGUCGCCGCCGGCGAGCGGCUCGGCCUUCUCUCCCUCGACUCGCUCUCUCCUCUCUGACCCCUUUCUUUCUCACUGACUCACACACACACGCACGCAGACACGGCGAAAGCCGCGCCGCCGCGUCGUCUUCUUCCCCGGCGAGGACAGCACCGGUCAGCCAUCUCCCUUCUCUCGACUCCGGCAGCAGUAGCAGCAGCUGUUAAUGAAGCCAGCCACCGCCGAAGCCCUGGAUCACCGACUCCCUCGAAUCCGGCGACCACAGGACAGCCAUGGCCGCCGCCCUUCCUCCCUCCGAUUUCCGGCGAAGCCGCAGCCGCAGCCGCCGACAACCCAGAACGGAGACCACUCUGUGGCUCCGCCGCCGUCCGUCGACCACCGGCAGCCCCGCGGCUGCCGCCCCCUAACCUCGAUUCACACACACACACAGCAGGGUUUCAAGCCAAGAUGCAGUCGAACACUUAGCAAAUAGGAUUUGAGCAUAAAUCAAAUACUGUAAAUGAUCAAUUGUAAACUGUACACAAACAUUCAUUCAUGUAUAUUAAUCCUUCAUGUAAUUUCAGUUUCAAAAUACAUGUGUAAACGUAUUGGUGAUCGUUGGUUCCCUGUAAAAUGAAAUAGGGGAAAACCUUGGAUUG